rnacentral:tRNA from 1 species
GGGCCCGUAGCCUAGUUUGGAUAAGGCGUCGGCCUUCGGAGCCGGAGACCCGGGGUUCAAAUCCCCGCGGGCCCGCCA